rnacentral:RNase_P_RNA from 1 species
UCAGAAGAUCGGGCAGUCGCCGGUUUUUGCGUCUAACGUGAAAACGGGAGGAAAGUCCGGGCUUCACGGAAAAACGGCGCCGGGUAACACCCGGGGGGCGAGAGCCUACGGACAGUGCAACAGAGAAGAGGUUUCCUGUAUUUAAAACUGUGAUUUUUAAAACGUCGUUUUAAAAAUUGUACCGAGCACGAAGCAACACCAAAGGUGUUGUUCGCUUUUUAAAAGCAAACAAAGCAAUGCUUUGCUUUGCGCGAGGCGGCCGAAGGCCGGUUGCAGGUAAAAGUGAAAGGGUGCGGUAAGAGCGCACCGCGCGGAUGGUAACAAACGCGGCAUGGUAAACCCCGCCGGAAGCAAGACCGAAUAGGAACCGCAUAUCAUGUUUUUCCGCAUGGCGGUUCGGGUUGGUCGCUCAAGCGCCCUUGUAAAAGUGCGCGUAGAUGAAUGGCUGCCGCUUCUUUUAAGGAGUACAGAACCCGGCUUAUAGAUUUUCUGAAAAU